GUACGUACAAGCAGUGGGAGCCUCUUUUAUGGGGUGACUGCGUACCUUUUGUAUAAUGGGUCAGCGACUUAUAUUCUGUAGCAAGGUUAACCGUAUAGGGGAGCCGAAGGGAAACCGAGUCUUAACUGGGCGUUAAGUUGCAGGGUAUAGACCCGAAACCCGGUGAUCUAGCCAUGGGCAGGUUGAAGGUUGGGUAACACUAACUGGAGGACCGAACCGACUAAUGUUGAAAAAUUAGCGGAUGACCUGUGGCUGGGGGUGAAAGGCCAAUCAAACCGGGAGAUAGCUGGUUCUCCCCGAAAGCUAUUUAGGUAGCGCCUCGUGAAUUCAUCUCCGGGGGUAGAGCACUGUUUCGGCUAGGGGGCCAUCCCGGCUUACCAACCCGAUGCAAACUGCGAAUACCGGAGAAUGUUAUCACGGGAGACACACGGCGGGUGCUAACGUCCGUCGUGAAGAGGGAAACAACCCAGACCGCCAGCUAAGGUCCCAAAGUCAUGGUUAAGUGGGAAACGAUGUGGGAAGGCCCAGACAGCCAGGAUGUUGGCUUAGAAGCAGCCAUCAUUUAAAGAAAGCGUAAUAGCUCACUGGUCGAGUCGGCCUGCGCGGAAGAUGUAACGGGGCUAAACCAUGCACCGAAGCUGCGGCAGCGACACUAUGUGUUGUUGGGUAGGGGAGCGUUCUGUAAGCCGUUGAAGGUGGCCUGUGAGGGUUGCUGGAGGUAUCAGAAGUGCGAAUGCUGACAUAAGUAACGAUAAAGCGGGUGAAAAGCCCGCUCGCCGGAAGACCAAGGGUUCCUGUCCAACGUUAAUCGGGGCAGGGUGAGUCGACCCCUAAGGCGAGGCCGAAAGGCGUAGUCGAUGGGAAACAGGUUAAUAUUCCUGUACUUGGUGUUACUGCGAAGGGGGGACGGAGAAGGCUAUGUCGGCCGGGCGACGGUUGUCCCGGUUUAAGC
rnacentral:rRNA from 1 species